GACGAACGCUGGCGGCGUGCCUAAUACAUGCAAGUAGAACGCACAGUUUAUACCGUAGCUUGCUACACCAUAGACUGUGAGCUGCGAACGGGUGAGUAACGCGUAGGUAACCUGCCUGGUAGCGGGGGAUAACUAUUGGAAACGAUAGCUAAUACCGCAUAAUAUUAAUUAUUGCAUGAUAAUUAAUUGAAAGGUGCAAUUGCACCACUACCAGAUGGACCUGCGUUGUAUUAGCUAGUAGGUGAGGUAACGGCUCACCUAGGCGACGAUACAUAGCCGACCUGAGAGGGUGAUCGGCCACACUGGGACUGAGACACGGCCCAGACUCCUACGGGAGGCAGCAGUAGGGAAUCUUCGGCAAUGGACGAAAGUCUGACCGAGCAACGCCGCGUGAGUGAAGAAGGUUUUCGGAUCGUAAAGCUCUGUUGUAAGAGAAGAACGGGUGUGAGAGUGGAAAGUUCACACUGUGACGGUAUCUUACCAGAAAGAGACGGCUAACUACGUG
rnacentral:rRNA from 1 species